UCUCCACUCACACAUUUUCUUCUCAUCUUCUUAUCUUUUUCUCUCUAAACCCUAAGCUUGCAUCCAUUGAAGCAAGCUUUGACCUAGACCUACCACCACCAUUUUGGUCCCCUUCCACUCACCUUAGAGCUAAACCCUUAGGAAACAAAAGCUUCCUCUCACCCUCCUCUACAAAACCCUUGAAGGAUUUCUUGAAAAACCCUUAUUUUCUUUGGAUUCUAGAGAGACACUUCUUUAGUGAGGUAAGGAAACACUAUUUUGGGAUGCACAACAUAGAAUGGAGUAUUUUGGAAUAUUUGAUUUCAUGCACUUGUAACAUGUUUUUACCUUAUUUUGGUUUUAUAUGCCAAAACUUGUAUAUUUUGUUCUAAAUAUGUAAUGAACAUAUAAAUACACCUUUUGGGAUGUAUUUGACAUGUAUGUAAUAAGGCCAAGGGCCAAGAACCUUUAAGUUUA